rnacentral:rRNA from 1 species
AGAGUUUGAUCCUGGCUCAGGAUGAACGCUAGCGACAGGCUUAACACAUGCAAGUCGAGGGGCAGCGGGGAAGUAGCAAUACUUCCGCCGGCGACCGGCGCACGGUGAGUAACACGUAUGGAACCUGCCCGUAGCAGGGGGAUAAGCGGAAGAAAUUCCGUCUAAUACCGCGUAAUAACUCCGAGGGCAUCCCUUGGGGUUUAAAGGGUAACACCGGCUACGGAUGGCCAUGCGGCGCAUUAGCUAGUUGGCGGGGUAACGGCCCACCAAGGCGACGAUGCGUAGGGGUUCUGAGAGGAAGGUCCCCCACACUGGUACUGAGACACGGACCAGACUCCUACGGGAGGCAGCAGUGAGGAAUAUUGGUCAAUGGGCGCGAGCCUGAACCAGCCAAGUCGCGUGAGGGAAGACGGUCCUAUGGAUUGUAAACCUCUUUUGUCGGGGAGCAAAAGACGUCACGCGUGGCGUUCCGAGAGUACCCGAAGAAAAAGCAUCGGCUAACUCCGUGCCAGCAGCCGCGGUAAUACGGAGGAUGCGAGCGUUAUCCGGAUUUAUUGGGUUUAAAGGGUGCGCAGGCGGAAGAUCAAGUCAGCGGUAAAAUUGAGAGGCUCAACCUCUUCGAGCCGUUGAAACUGGUUUUCUUGAGUGAGCGAGAAGUAUGCGGAAUGCGUGGUGUAGCGGUGAAAUGCAUAGAUAUCACGCAGAACUCCGAUUGCGAAGGCAGCAUACCGGCGCUCAACUGACGCUCAUGCACAAAGUGUGGGUAUCGAACAGGAUUAGAUACCCUGGUAGUCCACACAGUAAACGAUGAAUACUAAUUGUUCGGGGAGAAUGAUCCCUGAGUGAUACAGCGAAAGCGUUAAGUAUUCCACCUGGGGAGUACGCCGGCAACGGUGAAACUCAAAGGAAUUGACGGGGGCCCGCACAAGCGGAGGACAUGUGGUUUAAUUCGAUGAUACGCGAGAACCUUACCCGGGCUCAAACGACACAGGAAUACUUUUGAAAGGAGGUAGCUCUUAGGAGUCUGUGUCGAGGUGCUGCAUGGUUGUCGUCAGCUCGUGCCGUGAGGUGUCGGCUUAAGUGCCAUAACGAGCGCAACCCCCAUCGCCAGUUACCAGCAAGUCAAGUUGGGGACUCUGGCGAGACUGCCGGCGCAAGCUGUGAGGAAGGCGGGGAUGACGUCAAAUCAGCACGGCCCUUACGUCCGGGGCGACACACGUGUUACAAUGGCAGGUACAGAGAGAAGCAAUGCGGCGACGCAAAGCGGAACUUGAAAGCCUGUCUCAGUUCGGAUUGGAGUCUGCAACUCGACUCCAUGAAGCUGGAUUCGCUAGUAAUCGCGCAUCAGCCAUGGCGCGGUGAAUACGUUCCCGGGCCUUGUACACACCGCCCGUCAAGCCAUGGAAGCCGGGAGUGCCUGAAGUGUGCAACCGCAAGGAGCGCCCUAAGGUAAAACUGGUGACUGGGGCUAAGUCGUAACAAGGUAGCCGU